rnacentral:rRNA from 1 species
CCUACGGGAGGCAGCAGUGGGGAAUAUUGGGCAAUGGGGGCAAGCCUGACCCAGCAACGCCGCGUGAAGGAAGAAGGCUUUCGGGUUGUAAACUUCUUUUAAUAGGGAAGAGCAGAAGACGGUACCUCUUUCAUCAGCCACGGCUCACUACGGGCCAGCAGCCGCGGUAAUACGUAGGUGGCAAGCGUUGUCCGGAUUUACUGGGUGUAAAGGGCGUGUAGCCGGGCUGACAAGUCAGAUGUGAAAUCCCGUGGCUCAACCACGGAACUGCAUUUGAAACUGUCGGUCUUGAGUAUCGGAGAGGCAGGCGGAAUUCCUAGUGUAGCGGUGAAAUGCGUAGAUAUUAGGAGGAACACCAGUGGCGAAGGCGGCCUGCUGGACGACAACUGACGGUGAGGCGCGAAAGCGUGGGGAGCAAACAGGAUUAGAUACCCCAGUAGUC